rnacentral:rRNA from 1 species
GACGAACGCUGGCGGCGUGGAUUAGGCAUGCAAGUCGAACGGUAUCAUCCUUUCGGGGGUGAGAGAGUGGCGAACUGGUGAGUAACACGUAGGUUAUCUACCCUCAAGACGGGGACAACCCAGGGAAACUUGGGCUAAUACCGGAUGUGAGCAACUUUUAGUUGUUUGAAAGGUGGCGUAAGCUGUCGCUUGGGGAUGAGCCUGCGUCCUAUUAGUUAGUUGGUGAGGUAACGGCUCACCUAGGCAAUGAUAGGUAGGCGGCCUUAACGGGUGGUCGCCCACACUGGGAUUGAGAUACGGCCCAGACUCCUACGGGAGGCAGCAGUCGAGAAUAGUCUACAAUGGUCGGAAGACUGAUAGUGCGACGCCGCGUGAACGAUGAAAUCCCUUCGGGGUGUAAAGUUCUUUUAUAUGUGAGCAGUGCUUCUUAUAUUAACAGUAAUGGGGAAGAGAUAUUAGCAUAUGAAUAAGCAACGGCUAACUCCGUGCCCAGCAGCCGCGGUAAACUCGU